GACGUAGGGGGCGAGCGUUGUCCGGAUUUAUUGGGCGUAAAGCGUGCGUAGGCGGCUGCGCAAGUCGGUUGUGAAAACUCGAGGCUCAACCUCGAGACGCCGAUGGAAACCAUGUGGCUAGAGUCCGGAAGAGGAGAGUGGAAUUCCUGGUGUAGCGGUGAAAUGCGCAGAUAUCAGGAGGAACACCGGUGGCGAAGGCGGGUCUCUGGGCCGAUACUGACGCUGAGGAGCGAAAGCCAGGGGAGCAAACGGG
rnacentral:rRNA from 1 species